rnacentral:tRNA from 1 species
GGAUAUGGCUCAGUGUUAGAGUGUUUGCCUAGUAUGCAUGAGGCCCUGGGUUGGAUCCCCACAACCA